AGUGGGUGAAGCACUUGGAUGAGACCGUAAGGAGAGGUACUCGCCGCCCUUCGCUCGGGCCGUCGCCGGUCUCCACUUGGAAGUCAGUGGGGAUUUCUCCAGUGAGAGCGGGGAGGAAGCCUCACCGGACCGUCUUCCGAGAAAGGGCGAACUGAGCAGGGAGGAGGCACAAGAAAGAAACAUUUAUGAUAAAUUAUGAAGAAAUUGGGUGUUAUUCUGAACUACCCGAUUCUUUUCCACAAGGAGCGCUGAUACGAACUUAACAACCUCAACAUUGAGAUUAUGAAAAAACAGGGUUUCUCCAUAUCCAUGCCACGCAGCUUCCUCAUCCAAUUGUAUUUCUCUAAGAACACGGCUGGGUUUAUAAGCAGCAUUGAUCAACAGAGAGAGAACCUGAAAAAUGUAAAAAUAAAGAAAAACAUCAAAUGACUUGCCCAUAAA